rnacentral:rRNA from 1 species
GACAGAGGGUGCAAACGUUGUUCGGAAUUACUGGGCGUAAAGCGCAUGUAGGCGGCUCGGAAAGUCGGAUGUGAAAGCCCAGGGCUCAACCCUGGAAGUGCACUCGAAACUCCCGAGCUGGAGUCCCGGAGAGGAAGGCGGAAUUCUCGGUGUAGAGGUGAAAUGCGUAGAUAUCGAGAGGAACACCUGCGGCGAAGGCGGGUUGCUGGGCUGACACUGACGCUGAUGCGCGAAAGCGUGGGGAGCAAACAGG